AAAACGAAAGAUGCUUCUCACAAACGCGACCCUCUCCCUCAACACGGACAAAACCGAACCCUAAACGCCUCUCCGUCGCGAACUUCUCCCUCUUUGCAACAAAGCCCUAAACGCCUCUCCACGAAUCCCCUCUCUCCGAUGCCUCUCGGCGAACCUUCCUUCCUCUGCGACGAAAUCCUUUCUACUACCACCGGUGACUUUGUUCUUCCGCCUCGUUGUUCAGAGUUUUCAAGGUUAAAUCGGUUUUCCUUUCGAUUCUAGUCUUCUCAUUCUUCAAUAGAUUCUGAUUCUAAUUUUCCUUUUGUUUUGCUUCAUUUUGCUUUCAGAGUUUUCAAGGGUUUUUCAACAGUUCUCUUCGUUGUUUCCGCCAUCAUUACGUUCAAGUCUUAAUCAAUAUGUAUCCCUAUUUCUUCAGUAAGUAGAUCCGAACUAUGUUUAUCUCAAUCUUAAUUUUCUAUGAUGUGUGAUACUGUGGUUUCUAAGCUUCGAUUUGGAAUCUGGUAGUUCUGUCCCGAAUUUGCGAUUAGACAAUUUUUUCCCACGUUCUUAAUGCUUGUAGAUUUCUCCACACAUUUAGUUAUCAGUAACUUAUUUAACACCAGUGAUAAUUUAUUCUAGUUAAAUAUAUGAAAUAAGGUAUAAAGAGGUGCUUUUGGUAAAGGUACUUUAAUCUACUGUUCAAUAUCCGCUAAUUUUUGUCAAAUAGAGUCAUACUCUCGUGGAAAUUUGUCUUUGAAAUAACCGAAAUCCCUAAUUUUAUCUUUACCAUUCUGAUUGUAGGAAACUCUCCAGUGUAUGUACAUGUUUUGGAUAUAGAGAUUGGGAACAUGUAGGAAAGCAUUCUAAAUCUGAAUUACCACUUUUGAUGGUUAUGUAAGUUUAUAAUAUAUUUUUGUUGGAUUGCAUACUCUUUAUUUGAUAGNNNNNNNNNNNNNCAUGUACUGAUUGCUUGUAGAAUUUUUGCUUGUGCUUUUUCUCUUCUAAUUUGGUAGUUUAGAAGCAGUGAUGAUUCUUAUGGACGAUUGUACUUUUUAGCAAUAUUGUGAUCAGAAUUUUGUAUUCUAUGUAGGUUAUACAUUUUAUGGAUAUGGUUAUACUUGAAGAACCAAUAGAGGGGUAUCAUUAGUUGAAGCUUGUUUGGAAUCUUCAUUUUUAGUUCUCUUCAUUGACCAACUUAUUAAAAUGAUAUACUAUUCUCAAGUUCUAUCAAUAGACAGACAUUGAUUAUUAUCAUAACUUUCAGGAUAUAUUACAAACUCAAUGGCACUAAGGAUUGGUUGCUUUAAUCAAAGGAAUUUUCUAUUUGUCAUGCGAGAAGUUAAAGUUUGAAAUAAUAUGGUUGGUCUCUUGAACCCUUAAGUUAGCAUGUGAAAAAUUUAAAUUGAACGUGAUGUAUUGUCAGACACUAUUUAUUGUGAGUAUAUAAGUUUUGUUUGUCUUUAGCUUUAGAGCAUACCCUUUUGUUUGUCUUUAGUUAGCAUUUGGUAGAAUUAGAAAAUGUGUCUAAUGCUUAGUAUAUAUCAUAAGUAAAACCGAUACUAUUCUUUGGCACUGAUCUAUUGAUUUGUUCUUUUCUAUUGUGAUUCUUUCUUAUCUUGUAGACAUUUCCUGUUAUGUUUUUAUGGAAUAAUUGGCAAUUGGCAUGACUUAGUUUUUGCAAGGAGUUGAAAAAUUUAAGAGUUAAAGGUAAUAUCUAUAUCUUAUAUAAAGAUCUUUCUUGAUUGAAUCUUCCUGUAUAUUAAGACUUUAGAAGUUUCACCACGGAGGUGAUGGUGAUGAGUUUGUCAGAAUAUUAUUUCAUCAUUUGAAAAGAUUGUGCAGUAUAGAGAGGCUAGAUAGAACACUAGUAAGGUUUAUGAUGCCAUCAUCAACCGAAAAGUAUGUAGAUUGGAAUAAAGACUCAUUUUUUAAAUUAAUUAUAUCUUUAUAGGUGAAAAAAAGAUCAUAUCUAACUCUUAAAUGCCACCAUCUUUGUUUCAUUGUAGAGAGGGCUGAUGUUUAAGUUUCAAUUUCCCAUCUUGGUUGAUUGCUAGUUAACUAUGUGUUGGUAAUCAUUAUCAUAGUAUUUUAAAGAGAUUUAUUCAAUUAUCAUACUUGAGUACCGCUGCUAGUUGUCUUACAGCAAUAGGUUGGAUAUUAUAUAUAGGGAGCUUUUGUAACAUUACUCUUGUGCUUCCAGAGACUGGUUUAUGAAUGACUUUUGGGGAUUUGAGAUUUUGAUUUAUGCAGAAAUUUUGGGACUGUUUUAUUCAUGUAUUAAUUAAGCUUGUUUUGUUGUCUGUUUUAG
rnacentral:lncRNA from 1 species